GACGUAGGGCGCGAGCGUUGUCCGGAAUCAUUGGGCGUAAAGAGCGUGUAGGCGGCCAGAUAAGUCCGCUGUGAAAUCUCGAGGCUCAACUUCGAGCUGUCGGUGGAAACUGUCUGGCUAGAGUCCGGAAGAGGAGAAUGGAAUUCCUGGUGUAGCGGUGAAAUGCGCAGAUAUCAGGAGGAACACCAAUGGCGAAGGCAGCACUCUGGGACGUGACUGACGCUGAGACGCGAAAGCGUGGGGAGCAAACAGG
rnacentral:rRNA from 1 species